GGGGGUGUCCUGGGUUCGACGGGAAUGCUGAGCGUGGGGCUGCAUGUGGAGCUUUCAGAUAACUCCUUAAACUGACUGAACUUUCAAAUAGACGCCGAUAAUAGCGACUACGCUCUGGCUGCAUAGCCAGUGCCCGACCAGCUGACUUCCGCUAGGCAGGAUCCGGGUAUCAUUUAAGUGGGAUAGGAUAGUGACUAGUUUCCGGUUGCCGUCCGAAAAUAAAGGGAAAAUCGCCGACUUAAGAUCCCGACCGGAGGAGCUUACGUUCGGUUAAAUUAAAAUCCGCCUAAACAUGUAGAGGCCCUUACGUAAAGGUUUUCGGACGCGAGUUCGAUUCUCGCCACCUCCACCA
rnacentral:tmRNA from 1 species